AAAGGCGCUUUCGGGUGUCGCUGAUGGAUGGACCCGCGGUGCAUUAGCUAGUUGGUGAGGUAACGGCUCACCAAGGCCACGAUGCAUAGCCGACCUGAGAGGGUGAUCGGCCACAUUGGGACUGAGACACGGCCCAAACUCCUACGGGAGGCAGCAGUAGGGAAUCUUCGGCAAUGGACGAAAGUCUGACCGAGCAACGCCGCGUGAGUGAAGAAGGUUUUCGGAUCGUAAAACUCUGUUGUUAGAGAAGAACAAGGAUGAGAGUAACUGUUCAUCCCUUGACGGUAUCUAACCAGAAAGCCACGGCUAACUACGUGCCAGCAGCCGCGGUAAUACGUAGGUGGCAAGCGUUGUCCGGAUUUAUUGGGCGUAAAGCGAGCGCAGGCGGUUUCUUAAGUCUGAUGUGAAAGCCCCCGGCUCAACCGGGGAGGGUCAUUGGAAACUGGGAGACUUGAGUGCAGAAGAGGAGAGUGGAAUUCCAUGUGUAGCGGUGAAAUGCGUAGAU
rnacentral:rRNA from 1 species